GACGAACGCUGGCGGCGCGCUUAAUACAUGCAAGUCGAACGAGAAGCCAGAGCUUGCUCUGGUGGAAAGUGGCGAACGGGUGAGUAACACGUGAGAAACCUGCCCAAAGAUUGGGAUAAGCCUUGGAAACGAGGUCUAAUACCAAAUACCUUCCUUUUAACACAUGUUAAAAAGAAGAAAUGCUCCGGCGCUUUGGGAUGGUCUCGCGAUCUAUCAGCUUGUUGGUGAGGUAACGGCUCACCAAGGCAUCGACGGAUAGCUGGUCUGAGAGGAUGUCCAGCCACAUUGGAACUGAGACACGGUCCAAACUCCUACGGGAGGCAGCAGUAGGGAAUCUUGCACAAUGAGGGAAACCUUGAUGCAGCGACGCUGCGUGCGGGACGAGGGCCCUAGGGUUGUAAACCGCUUUCAGUAGGGACGAAAGUGACGGUACCUACAGAAGAAGCCCCGGCCAACUAUGUGCCAGCAGCCGCGGUAAU
rnacentral:rRNA from 1 species